GGGAUCCGGCGCCUGGCCCCUCCUCUGCCCAGUGACGGCCUCGGGAAGCGGGUAUUCGCUCGCGUUAGAGGCGACUGCCUGAGAACUGAUUAAGAACAAGGCCCUCAGGCCCUUCCAGGAGGGUCCCAUGACUUUGAAGGGGCAGGGGCCUGGAUCCCAUCAUCCAUCAAAGGCCCGUGAGCUACCCAUGCCGAUUUCCCAACAAUCUUAAGCUCUGCUGAACAUAUGAAAGAUACUGAAAAAUAUAAAAAGGAUAACUGAUGUCACCAUAUUCUACCAACCAGAGGAAAGCAAGCACUGUAGAAGUUUGAGAAUUCCUUCAGGUUUUUCUUGCAAGUAUACGCUGACAUGAAGGCACACCCCUAAAAACCUAUCUGUUAACUCAUACACCUCCUCUAUAAGAGAGCCAAUUGUUAAACAUUAACUAGCACACCACUGGAGUCAGCCCAACAAAUGAUUGGAAUCAGUUCCUGGUGUCCUUGCCAAAGCAUCGAGUUCCAAAUCACAGAUGACUGCCCCUGUGCCAACGAAUUAUUCUCCAGCCACUGAUCUAGUGUUAUGCUCCUCCCCCACCACACUGGGAAGAACCAGCGUCACCUGUGUUCCUUAAGAUCCUGCUGGCACACGUUAGCUCUGCAAUUCCUUUGGAGAACAGGACAGUUCUGACCAAAGCUGAGCAUAUGCCUCUCUGCUCUAGCUGUGGUGAAGUCUGACCCUGGAUGUCGGCCUGGCAUCAAGGAGCAGUGGUGAGGGCAGGUCUUGAGAACAAACACCUUGCAGGACCCCUGCCACAGGAAGCACCACCCAGUGCCUUGCUCUCUGGCUGCUCCCAUCAUAACUGACCACAGGUGAAAACUCCAGGAAUCAUAAUGCCACUGUGUGAUGAGCGGUCACCGGCGGUCAGCAAACUUUUUCUGUAAAAGGACAGAUAGUAAGUAAUACAGGCUUUGUGGGCCUUGUGUGAUACCUGCAGCAUAUUCUCUGACUUUUCUGCCUCCCUUUCCCUUUAGUCUACAAGCCAUGGAAGAACAGGCCAUAGUUUGCUGACCCCUGGUCAUUACAAUCCCACUUACCAGAGGUAUGGAGACCCUGUGACUCUGAGACAGGUGGACAGAUCGAUUCCAACAUGAAGCCUUGAGUGAGGGUCUGCUUUGUCAAACCAUUUUCAGUAUCCAGUGUCUUAGUUUAGGUUCCCUAGAAAACAGAGCCAGGGAACAGGCUUAAGAACAAAAGCUUUGGCUGGGCACGGUGGCUCAUGCCUGUAAUCCUAGCACUUUG